CUUGCGGAGGAGGCGUGGCUUCGUUCUGCUGCAGCAGCGGAGAAACAUGACAUGAGAGGCGAGGGAGUGAGACAGCCUGGUAGGAAUAAACGAUACGUCAGAGGUCUGGAGGAAAACGUAAUGAUGAGGAGCAAUGACUGAAACCACCACGGAUUCUGUGCUUCCCCGGGGUCUUCCUCUCCUGCUCUGCCGCUCAAGCCAUGGACCAGAGCUACGUCCGGUCCUGAGGGUCCUGUGAUCAUCAGAUGGCUCCUCAAAAGUCAGCCACAAUUCAGAACAUGAGAACGUGAAGGCUGGCGUCCACCAAGGCCACCGCUGCACCGUGGGCAGCGCACACCCAUGAUCACAUGACUCUGGACAUGGACGCGGUCCUGUCAGACUUUGUUCGGUCCACAGGGGCGGAACCGGGUCUGGCCAGAGACCUGCUGGAAGGUAAGAAACAAAUAGAUUAAGAAUAUUUUUGUCUUGGGUUUUUGUCAGCUGCUUCUAGUUGUUGCACUCGAGAGAGAGCAA